UGCAAGGGGAAAUGUGAUUGGCUCUUUGUCUUUGGACUGACGUCACUGGUGAAUACAGCGUGAGCGCGCAUUUUCUAAUGGCUGCUGAUCACUGUGAGUACGAUUUCAUACUUUUGUCUCAAACAGUCCUCAUUGUUUUCCUUUAAUAAACAAAGUAUGUAACCGUUAGCAAGAAAACCACAUGUAAGAUUAAGCUGUGUCUGACGUUAGGAUCAUGUUAUUGUUCCGGUCAAUCGCAACCGCCAUUGCCACAUUUAUUAACAGUUCUAAGACGUGAAAAGUGCAAAGACGUGCGUAAUAGGAUCAUGAUAGAUCAUAUAUUAUGUAAAAAAAAAGUUAAUGUAAGUUUUGCCUGUGUUAGCGUAUUCAUUUAUGCCACGUAUAACCGAUCACGGCCGCCGCAUUUCAUCUAUAUAAUUCGUUACAGUUACGUGGAAACAUGCUUUAUGAGGUCGUCACGUAUAAAGUUUAAUAUUGAUGCUGUAUUCGAUGAGUCAUCCGCGUUAUCUUUUGUGUAAACUGAUUAUUUUUUCAGUGGUGGUUAUGUGUCGUCAGAUGUUUAGCAUAACAUAACCUGAGCUGUUUUUAACAUUUUUUUUUUUUACUUUUUUUUCUUGUAAGUGAAGUAUUAACUGACUAGAAUACAUUGAGAUUUGCCCCUUCGGAAAUACGAAUUCAUGUUAGUUGGCAGUUUUUAAAGAUAUGCAACCUCGUGCUCAUCAGUCUUAGCAAGUGAAUUUUCAGUUAAUUAGAAUGAAAGCUAAAUAAUUAACUGUAGCUCUCUAAUUCUUUUGAUUAACAAUAGCUGUUUGUGGGAAAUUUGGAGAUAACAGAUCAAAUUAUGUAAAUGUGUUUUGUCAGCUAGUAAUCUAAUGUAUAUUUUUGUAACUGUAGAUUGCAGAAAGAUCAAAGCAAGGCCAACCAGGAUGAGAUGAAAAUGUGUAUCAAGAGUUCAACCAGAUAGUGUGGAAGAAUCUUAAGCAAGAAUUAUAUUGGUCUCUUGAUCAUCACUGCCCACAGCUGAUUCGGAUCUUCAGGUCAAAGAGAGGAUUCACUGGACAGAUUUUUAUCUUCUACAAAAUAUCAAGGUUUGUGUAUGCCAUUGUUUGUACAUGCCUUUGACAUAAAUUGAUGCCAUUGUGUGCUGAAUUCUGAAAUUUAUAUAAUUACUUUAGAAAUCCUCAGUGACAGAGACUAAAUUUUAAUACAUGAAAAUGCCCUUUCUCUCAUGUUGACAAAUGAUACAAUGUUGUUUCUCUGCAACACCUCAGGCGUCUGACCUCACUGACAUGCCUUGUGUUGCCAUUUGAGUGCUUCCAGUAGUUGUUGGUGAUGACCCAACAGUUCUUCAAAGCAUGUUUUGCUUCAGAUGAUGGAGACUCAAAUCAACAUGUGCCCGUUGGAAUUCUUAACCAAGAAAAUUAAGAUGUGGCUCUGCAACCCCUGUCCUUCCACCUCCACCCAUUCUCUGGGAAUCAUCUUGGAGGGAAAUGUUGUAAUGGACAAUAUAGACAAUAUACCCCAGGCCAAGUGUCUUUUUGGAUCAACCUAUGCACUGCACCUAGGCUACACAAAAUGCAUGGACAAUACCCUUCUUUUUAUUCAACAAGUUUGGGUAAGAAGAUGCUGAAGGGUAAGAUUCUGGCUGUUAAAAAUCAACUUGUCAUGUAAACUGGUACAGAAAAGGCAUGUUCCUUCAGGCUUGCUGUCCUAACUGUGAGAUAAAAAAAAUUAAAACUAUGCUUUAGUGUUUGGCAAGUGUAAAUAUUCCAUAAUGUUAAAAUGUAAUAACAUCCUGUGGUUGUUUAUUUUUUGGAUAUGUUUGUAAAAAUGUAUUUAAAAAUUUUAAACAAGUGUUUUAAUAAGAUUUAUAACAAUAAAUAUUGACUAAUUGUUAUACAAGGCAUUUUCUAGUUUUGUCACUUGUUUCGGAGUGAUAUUUCUAAAUGAUUUUAAAUAAACUGUAAAGUAAAUUUUUA